AAUAAGAUGCCUGAAGGAAAAGGGUUAUUUUGAUAGAAUAAAUUAUGCAAUUACUGUUCUUAUUA
rnacentral:tRNA from 1 species